GUCUCGGUAGUCUAAAGGCUUAGGACGCUUGCACGGAAUGCAAGAGAUCCAGGUUCGACUCCCGGUCGAGGUA
rnacentral:tRNA from 1 species